ACAGAACCCUACUGCUCUCUUACUUUCUCUCUCUAAUCUUUUCUUCUUUAUUUCUUUUCUAGGCAUUUGACGAAGAGAAACAAAUCUUUAUCUCACUGUCAAGUGUCACCUUUCUUUUAUAAUUCAUCUUUAUUCUAUUGGACUCUAACCAACCAGACCCAUUCAAGAACCCAACUGAUCAAUCAGUGUACUAUGAACAAGACUAAAGAGCUGAAUCUGAUAUUAAACGCUACUCAGGAUUCAAUUAUCAGUGUAUUUUGCUAUAUCAGUUUUUCUCUCAUCAAAACCCUGAAAAAAUAAGCCACACACCAGUUGCGGAAACUCUCCACUGAUCGUCUGCAAGAUGAAUAGUUGCAAUAGACUACUACUACUUCUACUUGUUUGGUCGUUGGUUCUGUUCAUCUUCUUUAUAGGCCAUUCCAGUGGCUCCCGAGCCAUGAAUUCUUACAAAAUCAAGCCAAAUCCUCAGAAUUCUGGCUAUUUCUUGAACUUCUUGCCCAAAAGGCGUAUUCCACCGUCUGGUCCGUCGAGAAAACACAAUGCCAUCGGCCUAAAGAGUUGGAGGCGUCCUUGAAGAUAGAAAUUAGGCUUCAACAUUAGAAACGCCUGUUUUUACUGAUUUUGAAGCCAUGAAGAAAUAGCUGGUGGAUAUUGAUCCCUUAUUUUUGGCUUUGACAAAAAGGUUUGUUUGAGACUGUGAUUUCAAGAAUAGGGUUCUGUUGUUUCUUCUCCAUGUACGAGCGUGGAGUUAAAUGAGUGAGAUUAUCUUAAAUUAUCAGUAGCUUUUCUAAAUUUUUUUCAUUGCUUUGGAUGGAGAUCAUGGACAAAAACUUGUAUAUAUAUGCGUAUGUAUACUCAGUAUAAAAGGAAAAAUACAUGCAGGAAUUCACUUGCAGAGAAGUGCAAUAUUUUUCUUCAUACACUUCUUGAUCAUUGCCGAUUAUGAUAAUCUUUAUAUUUUUUUUUUGUCGAAUUUGUACUGGGAUGACAAAAUUUGUACUGUACA
rnacentral:lncRNA from 1 species